rnacentral:lncRNA from 1 species
AAAUAAACGAAGGCAUGUAAAAGGAGACUAAUGAUGGAGAAUUCGACAUUAAUCUUAUUGGAGGUUGCUAUCGAUGACCCUAUUGAUAGACUGAGUUGCAUCCAGCUGACCAUAGGACCUCACCUGCUGAGCGGAGGUUUUGUAAUUUUUUCCCAGUAACACUACAAAACUCAUCCCUCCCCAGAACUUUUCUUUUUGCCCGGGCAAUGCAAUUUGCAGAAACUUAGAAGUACCUUUGGUUCCCACUGGAAGUUCAUUCUUUACCCUUUCUUUUCUCUUUCUUUUUCCCACUGUAAUUGGAGGUUGCUAUCGAUGACCCUAUUGAUAGACUGAGUUGCAUCCAGCUGACCAUAGGACCUCACCUGCUGAGCGGAGGUUUUGUAAUUUUUUCCCAGUAACACUACAAAACUCAUCCCUCCCCAGAACUUUUCUUUUUGCCCGGGCAAUGCAAUUUGCAGAAACUUAGAAGUACCUUUGGUUCCCACUGGAAGUUCAUUCUUUACCCUUUCUUUUCUCUUUCUUUUUCCCACUGUAACUCUAUUUCUUCCAUUAUGAUCUGCUACUGUCUUCUAAAGGGAAAAUCCUCGUCUGGUGUAUGCUGAGGUUGUGAACAAGAAGGAUGUUAUUCCUGAGAGAUUAGCAUCCAUGGCACACAUUCCUCAAAUUUUCGCUUUCCAUUGUGAAAAGCUUGAAUUAC